rnacentral:rRNA from 1 species
CAAGGAAUUUUCGUCAAUGGGGGAGCCCUGAACGAGCAACGCCGCGUGGGCGAAGAAGUCCUUCGGAUGUAAAGCCCUUUCCUGUGAGAAGGAAAGACGUAGCAGGGAAUAAGCAUCGGCUAACUACGUGCCAGCAGCCGCGGUAAUACGUAGGAUGCAAGCGUUGUCCGGAAUUAUUGGGCGUAAAGAGCGCGCAGGCGGUCUGUCAAGUCAGAUGUGAAAGGGGCCGGCUUAACCGGCAAGAGUCAUUUGAAACUGACCGACUAGAGUGCAGCAGAGGAUAGCGGAAUUCCCGGUGUAGUGGUGAAAUGCGUAGAUAUCGGGAGGAACACCAGUGGCGAAGGCGGCUAUCUGGGGUGCAACUGACGCUGAGGCGCGAAGGCUAGGGUAGCAAACAGGAUUAGAUACCC